CUGUUAUGGCUAGGGGGUCAUCGCGACUUACCAAACCAUUGCAAACUCCGAAUACCGAGACGGACUGUAUGGGAGACACACGGCGGGUGCUAACGUCCGUCGUGAAAAGGGAAACAACCCAGACCCACAGCUAAGGUCCCAAAUUCACUGCUAAGUGGAAAACGAUGUGGAAAGGCAUAGACAGCCAGGAGGUUGGCUUAGAAGCAGCCACCCUUUAAAGAAAGCGUAAUAGCUCACUGGUCGA
rnacentral:rRNA from 1 species